UUUCUCUUUGGGAUUAGAGAGGACAGAUGGCUGCACUGAAAGUCCCUCACCUAGAGUAGGAUUUUAUUAGCAGAAUAAACCAGGUUCUUCUCUCUGCACAGGACUUCCCUUACCCAUCAUACUCUGAACUGGUCCCAGAGAUCAGCCUAAAGGCAAUACACUUACUCUACUGUGAGUGUCUCUGCAGCUUGUUCAGUAAAGCUGUGGCUCAAUACCACCAUCUUGUGGAGGAAAAUGUACCUGCGGGGGCCUUUUUAAUUACCCAGCUUCCAAGUGUCACAGACAAUAUGAAGAAGGAGGUGAGCUCACAGCUGAGGCUGAAGGGAGAGGAAAUCCACUAGAUGCUUCUCCAAGGUCAUGUUGCAGUGGCAGCAGGAAGCCCAGGCAUCCCUCUGCUCCACCUGAGGGAUUCUGAGGCGUUCCCAGGCCAGAUAGGAUAUAUAACCCCUGCAUUGAGCUCUGGGUCUACCACAAGGUCUCCCCCAGUUGGAUGUUCCCAGAGAACCUCUGAAAGAGCUCUCCAGGUGGCAUCCUACCUAAUCAGAUGCCUGAACUACCACAACUGGCUACUUUCAAUGCAAAGGACUAGCAGCUCCACUCUAAACUGCCUCCAAAUAUCCAAGCCCCUAUCUCUGAGCCAAGACUGGAUCCUUUUAUGAAGGCUCAAUCUUUCAUUUUGUUAAAUGCAAUAGACACAAAAAGAUGCUUUUCACCAGCUUUUACUCCUUAUGUCCUUCUUUUCACCUUGAAGAUGUAUCCUCACGAUCAGAACUUUGAGGUAUCAGAUAUAGAAAUAAACUUGCAGGCUGACAUGAA